ACUUCCUAACUUAUACCUAUAGUAUUGACAUCGAGGACGGAAAAAAAUGGCAGGAAGAAAAGGUGGAAGUACCAAUGAUGUGUGGUUAAGUUCACGGGUCAUUAUGAUCGAGUCUACCCCUAGAGGGCCUAGAUUUCGCCGGGUGAGGAGACGAAUUAACUUCUCCUCGGAGGAUGGGGAUGGCGCAUGCGCAACCCGCACACCUGCAGCGUCCCCCCAAAUUCCUGCAUAUACGACCAUAGCUGAAGAAAGUCUUCAGCAACGGGUGCUGAGACUCGAAGAAAGUUUGGAGGCACUCCGAAAGGAGAUGGAAGGGAGGAGAAUCCUCCGGAAGUUGAAUGUUUGCAAUUUUUGCCAAAAUUAAAAUGUUUUAAAUUUC
rnacentral:sRNA from 1 species